rnacentral:rRNA from 1 species
UGGGGAAUAUUGCACAAUGGGCGCAAGCCUGAUGCAGCGACGCCGCGUGGGGGAUGAAGGCCUUCGGGUUGUAAACUCCUUUCGCUAGGGACGAAGCCUAUGGUGACGGUACCUGGAGAAGAAGCACCGGCUAACUACGUGCCAGCAGCCGCGGUAAUACGUAGGGUGCGAGCGUUGUCCGGAAUUACUGGGCGUAAAGAGCUCGUAGGUGGUUUGUCGCGUCGUCUGUGAAAUCCCGGGGCUUAACUUCGGGCGUGCAGGCGAUACGGGCAUAACUUGACUGCUGUAGGGGAGACUGGAAUUCCUGGUGUAGCGGUGAAAUGCGCAGAUAUCAGGAGGAACACCAAUGGCGAAGGCAGGUCUCUGGGCAGUAACUGACGCUGAGGAGCGAAAGCAUGGGUAGCGAACAGG